CCUACGGGGGGCUGCAGUGAGGAAUAUUGGUCAAUGGACGAGAGUCUGAACCAGCCAAGUAGCGUGAAGGAUGACUGCCCUAUGGGUUGUAAACUUCUUUUAUAUGGGAAUAAAACGUUCCACGUGUGGGAUUUUGUAUGUACCAUAUGAAUAAGGAUCGGCUAACUCCGUGCCAGCAGCCGCGGUAAUACGGAGGGUCCGAGCGUUAUCCGGAUUUAUUGGGUUUAAAGGGAGCGUAGGUGGGUGGUUAAGUCAGUUGUGAAAGUUUGCGGCUCAACCGUAAAAUUGCAGUUGAAACUGGCAGUCUGGAGUACAGUAGAGGUGGGCGGAAUUCGUGGUGUAGCGGUGAAAUGCUUAGAUAUCACGAAGAACACCGAUUGCGAAGGCAGUUCACUGGACUGCAACUGACACUGAGGCUCGAAAGUGUGGGUAUCAAACAGGAUUAGAUACCCUUGUAGUC
rnacentral:rRNA from 1 species